GACGAACGCUGGCGGCGUGCUUAACACAUGCAAGUCGAACGGAAAGGCCCUGCUUUUGUGGGGUGCUCGAGUGGCGAACGGGUGAGUAACACGUGAGUAACCUGCCCUUGACUUUGGGAUAACUUCAGGAAACUGGGGCUAAUACCGGAUAGGAGCUCCUGCUGCAUGGGGGGGGUUGGAAAGUUUCGGCGGUGGGGGAUGGACUCGCGGCUUAUCAGCUUGUUGGUGGGGUAGUGGCUUACCAAGGCUUUGACGGGUAGCCGGCCUGAGAGGGUGACCGGCCACAUUGGGACUGAGAUACGGCCCAGACUCCUACGGGAGGCAGCAGUGGGGAAUAUUGCACAAUGGGCGGAAGCCUGAUGCAGCAACGCCGCGUGCGGGAUGACGGCCUUCGGGUUGUAAACCGCUUUCGCCUGUGACGAAGCGUGAGUGACGGUAAUGGGUAAAGAAGCACCGGCUAACUACGUG
rnacentral:rRNA from 1 species